GAUCCUGGCUCAGGAUGAACGCUGGCGGCGUGCUUAACACAUGCAAGUCGAACGGGAAACAUUUCAUUGAAGCUUCGGCGGAUUUGGUCUGUUUCUAGUGGCGGACGGGUGAGUAACGCGUGGGUAACCUGCCUUAUACUGGGGGAUAACAGCCAGAAAUGGCUGCUAAUACCGCAUAAGCGCACAGGACCGCAUGGUCCAGUGUGAAAAAACUCCGGUGGUAUAAGAUGGACCCGCGUUGGAUUAG
rnacentral:rRNA from 1 species